UACGUAGGGUGCGAGCGUUAAUCGGAAUUACUGGGCGUAAAGCGUGCGCAGGCGGCUUUGCAAGACAGAUGUGAAAUCCCCGGGCUCAACCUGGGAACUGCAUUUGUGACUGCAAGGCUAGAGUACGGCAGAGGGGGAUGGAAUUCCGCGUGUAGCAGUGAAAUGCGUAGAUAUGCGGAGGAACACCAAUGGCGAAGGCAAUCCCCUGGGCCUGUACUGACGCUCAUGCACGAAAGCGUGGGGAGCAUACAGG
rnacentral:rRNA from 1 species